GCCCCGCUCCCUGCCCGCCCCGCCCGGCGUCGGAGCGAGCGUUCCCCGACAGCCGGAGCCGCUCUUUCCUCCCGGUGGGAAAAGUUUUCCCAUGUGCCCCACGUACAUCGCGUCCCCGCUGUGCGCGAAGGCGUCGCGCCUGGAAACACGCGUGCACAUCUCCCACACACCGCGCACGGAACGCUCGGACGGUGCCACCCUUAGCCGGAGACGAACCACCGCUCAGGAGACUUCAAGGGACUCUCACGAAUCGCCGACGCUGCUCCUUCUCCCCCGUGCCCAGAGGGCAGCACCCACGGGUGACAAUCCCCUGCUCUGCCACGCUCCCCCACGAGGCGAUGGAGAGUUUCGGAACCGCCCGUGAUCAGCGCGACUGCCGUGUGCCGCCCGCACGGCCCCGCGGGGCGUCUCCAUCGGCGUCGGGGACAUUUCGUGGGUCUCUCGCAGCGUCACGCUGCCGGGAGGGCAGAGGGGUACUCUGGAAACCCGCAGAGCUAUCGGGAUCGAGAUUUCCCGAGUUCAGGACUCCUGGGCUGCCAGGGGGAAGGCUUUCAGGGACUGACUGCUGGAAAGCGAGGACGAGCGGCUGGUGGCUUCGCGAUGGGGAGGGGACGACAGUUCUGUGCCCCGUGCCCCGAGCACUCAGCCUCGGGACAUCGCCUGAACGCAGCCAUGCCUGUGGGGCAGAGCUUUGUAACGCCACUGUUCGCUCUGCGCAUUUGCGCACGGGAAAGGAACGUGCAUCGCCCUUAGGGAUGAAUGACGCAAGCGUUGCCCAAGACUUCAUGAAAAGGAAACUUGUGACAAGAGGGAGGCGGUCGCAGCACCGUGGCCAAGCACCUGGGCGAGCACUGCCCGUGUCGCAAACGCCCUUGGUGCGGUAUUUGCCUGCCCGUCGGGGAUCGCCCUGACAUCCGCCGGGGUGCGGGAGUGACACUCUCGGCAGCACCUCCAGCGGGGAAGAGUCUGAGUAGCACUCAACGCGCACCAUUCCGAUUCCCUGAGGGCAGAAACUGGAGGGGAGCACCAACGGCCACACUUCCUCCCCUUCAAAGAUUACAAAACUCAGCGGCUCCUGCUGCGACUCCUUCGUGCGUUGGGCUCUUUCAGAGAUACAAUGUUUGAUGCAGAAAGGAAGAGGGAGCCUUUUAAAAACUGGCCUGAAGUUGGCCCAGCGUCUGCACGAAUGAUAUUUUAGAAGGAAAAGAUUAAAAGCAAAUGGACAACACGACAG
ensembl:lncRNA